UACGUAGGGUGCGAGCGUUGUCCGGAAUUAUUGGGCGUAAAGAGCUUGUAGGCGGUUUGUCGCGUCUGCUGUGAAAAUCCGGGGCUCAACCCCGGACUUGCAGUGGGUACGGGCAGACUAGAGUGUGGUAGGGGAGACUGGAAUUCCUGGUGUAGCGGUGAAAUGCGCAGAUAUCAGGAAGAACACCCGUGGCGAAGGCAGGUCUCUGGGCCGAUACUGACGCUGAGACGCGAAAGCGUGGGGAGCAAACAGG
rnacentral:rRNA from 1 species